GGGGUAACCCGGGGUAACCGGGUUAACCCCGGGGUAAACCCCGGGGUAAAACCCGGGGGGUAAAAACCCGGGGGGUUAAAAACCCCGGGGUUAAAACCCGGGGGUAAAACCGGGGGUAAA
rnacentral:sRNA from 11 species